GAUGAACGCUGGCGGCGUGCCUAAUACAUGCAAGUCGAGCGAACGGACGAGAAGCUUGCUUCUCUGAUGUUAGCGGCGGACGGGUGAGUAACACGUGGAUAACCUACCUAUAAGACUGGGAUAACUUCGGGAAACCGGAGCUAAUACCGGAUGAUAUUUUGAACCGCAUGGUUCAAAAGUGAAAGACGGUCCUGCUGUCACUUAUAGAUGGAUCCGCGCUGCAUUAGCUAGUUGGUAAGGUAACGGCUUACCAAGGCAACGAUGCAUAGCCGACCUGAGAGGGUGAUCGGCCACACUGGAACUGAGACACGGUCCAGACUCCUACGGGAGGCAGCAGUAGGGAAUCUCCCGCAAUGGGCGAAAGCCUGACGGAGCAACGCCGCGUGAGUGAUGAAGGUCUUCGGAUCGUAAAACUCUGUUAUUAGGGAAGAACAUAUGUGUAAGUAACUGUGCACAUCUUGACGGUACCUAAUCAGAAAGCCACGGCUAACUACGUG
rnacentral:rRNA from 1 species